ACAAGCUACUAAGGGUGUACGGUGGAUGCCUUGGCGCCAAACGCCGAUGAAGGACGCGGAUCACUGCGAUAAGCCUCGAGGAGUCGUGAUCAGACGCUAUCACUCGGGGAUUUCCGAAUGGGGAAACCCGCUCAGCGAAGAGCUGAGCACCCCGCGCUGAAUCCAUAGGCGCGGCGGAGGGAACCACCCGAACUGAAACAUCUUAGUAGGGUGAGGAAAAGAGAGUAUUCCGAAAGUAGUGGCGAGCGAAAUCGGAACAGCCCAAACCAGCCGGCAUGCCGGCUGGGGUUGUAGGACCCCAAUGUAGGACUGCGUAGCCUAGCCGAACCGUUCUGGAAAGCCGGACCAUAGAAGGUGAUAGUCCUGUAGGCGAAAGGCCAAACAGCCGAGGGGUAUCCUGAGUAGCACCGUGCACGCUAACACGGUGUGAAGCUGCGGAGACCACUCCGCAAGGCUAAAUACGUUUGGCGACCGAUAGUGGACAAGUACCGUGAGGGAAAGGUGGGAAGCACCCCGAUGAGGGGAGUAGCAGAACCUGAAACCGUACACCUACAAGCAGUCGGAGGGCUAUGCCGUUUAGCGGAAUGCCUGACGGCGUGCCUCUUGGAGAAUGAGUCGGCGAGUUAAUGUCUGUCGCAAGGUUAAGGCAGUGACAGCCGGAGCCGUAGGGAAACCGAGUCUGAAUAGGGCGUUAAGUGGCAGGCAUUAGACCCGAAACGGGAUGAGCUACUCAUGACCAGGGUGAAGCGAGAGUAACAUCUCGUGGAGGCCCGAACUCGUUAGGGCUGCAAAACUAUGAGAUGAGUUGUGAGUAGAGGUGAUAUGCCAAUCGAAUUCCGAGAUAGCUGGUUCUCCCCGAAAUAACUUUAGGGUUAGCCUUGAUCGUUCAGUGGCGGAGGUAGAGCACUGAACGGGCUAGGGGCCAUAAGGCUACCAAACCCGAUCAAACUCCGAAUGCCGUCACUUAAAGGUCAAGAGUCGGGCUACGGGUGAUGAGAUCCGUUGCCGAGAGGGAAACAACCCAGACCGCCAUCUAAGGUCCUUAAGUGCAUGCUCAGUGGGAAACGAUGUGGGACUGUUUAGACAGCCAGGAGGUUAGCUUAGAAGCAGCUAUCCUUUAAAAAGUGCGUAAUAGCUUACUGGUCGAACGGUCCUGCGCGGAAAAUUUAGCGGGGCUAAGCAUGCCACCGAAGAUACGGGCUCGCAAGAGCGGUAGGGGAGCGUUCUGCAAGCGUUGAAGCCGUACGGUAACGAGCGGUGGAGCGAGCAGAAGUGAGAAUGCCGACAUGAGUAGCGUGAAUCACGUGAGAACCGUGAUCGCCGUAAGCCUAAGGUUUCCGAUGCAAGGUCAGUCCGCAUCGGGUUAGUCGGGCCUAAGCCGAGGCUGAAAAGCGUAGGUGAUGGACAAUCGGUCAACAUUCCGAUACCGGCAUAGGGUGCGAUGGAGUGACGCAGCAUGGUAGGUGAGCCAGACCGUUGGUCGUUCUGGUGCGAACGCCGUAGGGAGAUGAAGCGGCCAGGCAAAUCCGGUCGCUGAUCCUGAAAGCGAAGCGGGUCCCCAAGCCUAAGUCACCGAGCCAAGCUGCCAAGAAAACCUUCUAAGCAUAACCCUGUGUCGCCCGUACCGCAAACCGACACUGGUAGGCGAGGAGAGGAUCCUAAGGCGAACGAGAGAACCCUCGUUAAGGAACUAGGCAAAAUGUACCCGUAACUUAGGGAGAAGGGUAGCCUGCGGAGAUGACAUCAUGCGAUGUUGUCUUUGUAGGUCGCAGAAGAGAGGCUCUAGCGACUGGUUAACAAAACCACAGGUCUCUGCGAAGUCGUAAGACGACGUAUAGGGGCUGACACCUGCCCAGUGCCGGAAGGUUAAAGGGAGCGGUUAGCGCAAGCGAAGCUGCGAACUGAAGCCCCGGUGAACGGCGGCGGUAACUAUAACCGUCCUAAGGUAGCGAAAUUCCUUGUCAGGUAAGUUCUGACCCGCACGAAUGGUGUAACGACUGGAGCACUGUCUCAACGAGGGACUCGGCGAAAUUGAACUAGUGGUGAAGAUGCCAUUUACCCGCACCAGGACAAAAAGACCCCGUGGAGCUUUACUGUACCCUGGCAUUGCGCUAGGACUUCGUCUGUGUAGGAUAGGUGGGAGGCUGUGAAGCCGGGGCGCCAGCUUCGGUGGAGCCGACGGUGAAAUACCACCCUGACGGAGUUUUGGCCCUAACCCUGAUCCGCCAUCCGGACAGGAGACAGUGCCAGGCGGGCAGUUUGACUGGGGUGGUCGCCUCCUAAAAGGUAACGGAGGCGCCCAAAGGUUCCCUCAGGCUGAAUGGAAACCAGCCGUUGAGUGCAAAGGCAUAAGGGAGCUUGACUGCAAGACUGACACGUCGAGCAGGGACGAAAGUCGGGCUUAGUGAUCCCACGAUGCUGAGUGGAAAGGUCGUGGCAAUCGGAUAAAAGCUACCCCGGGGAUAACAGGCUAGUGAGGCCCAAGCGUCCACAGCGACGGCCUCGCUCGGCACCUCGAUGUCGGCUCGGCGCAUCCUGGGGCUGAAUAAGGUCCCAAGGGUCGGCCUGUUCGGCCGUUAAAGCGUUACGUGAGCUGGGUUCAAACCGUCGUGAGACAGGUUGGUCUCUAUCCGGUGUGGGCGCAGGGGAUUUGAGGGGAGCUGUCCCUAGUACGAGAGGACCGGGAUGGACGCACCGCUGGUGUGCCAGUUGUUCCGCCAGGAGCACCGCUGGGUAGCCAUGUGCGGACGGGAUAACCGCUGAAAGCAUCUAAGUGGGAAACCCUCCCCAAGAUGAGAUCCCCCUGAAGGUCACGAGCAGACUACUCGUUUGAUAGGCGAGAGGUGUAAGCGCUGCGAGGCGUUUAGCCAACUCGUACUAAUGACCGUCCGGCUUGUCUCU
rnacentral:rRNA from 1 species